UAGGCCUCUUAUACGUACUAUGCUAGCAGGCAUAAACUUCUACAGAAGGACUAUGCUAACAGUACGUUGUGUAUCAUCAACUGAUCAAAUCUUGGAUUGGAGAAGUAUGUCAUGUCUAAGCUGUUUUCUCAGACGUUUACUUCAACUGCUGAGGAUGUGAAGAUUGAUCAGGAAAUCUCUGACAAGAUAUGCCUGCUGCAAACCUUCUUGAGGCCUAAGCAUUUGGAUAUACUGCAGUACUUCAAAUUGAAGCUUCGUGGCUGUGGAGCUGCAACAUCAGGCUGCUGAUCAUAAAUGGUACAAGACUCUUCCUCCGGGCGAAAUGUUGCCAAGGAAUGAGCCUCUUGGAGGCAACAUUUUUGUUUGCAACAACG